GGAACUGACUCUGAGCAAUAGAAUAUUGUCCUGAACCUUCCGUAAUGUCAAGUGUCCUCCACCAGGCUCAGAGGCUGAUUGGUAAACAAUUUCAUAUGGAAAAUCCUUUGGAUGGUUGAGAGUUUGUUAAAAACAAGGCAAGACAAAAUAUGGUUUUAUAAAGUUUCAGGGGUCACCUUGCAAAGUGAGAUGGUGACUUGCACCGUACUCCGUAGGAGUUAUUGUACAGAGGCAAAAAAUGAAAAGGAGAGAAAGUUCAUCUCUGACCUUCUGCUUUCCUUUUAGAUACAUAAAAAUAGAUAGAUACUUGCAUACAUACAUGGUAUUUAUAUACUGGUAAGUUUAGUGGGCUACAGAAAUGGAUGGCGGAGGAAGCAUAUAAAGGGUAGGGUAAAAGCUAGUGUUCUUAGUCUGAAAUUAAAUAUUUAUCAUUGGACUGCACUUUAGUCCAAAGAAUCUGAAAAUAAAUUCAUGUCACAAGCCAAUUCAAACAUUUUUUUGAGAAUGGCUGGAAACUGGAUUUCUUACAUUCCGUAUUGGAGUUGCACUAUAUACAGUCAUACCUCUACUUACGUAUCCUUCUGGAUAUGGAAUCUUCAGGUUACAGCCACGGCAAAUCCAGGAGUAAAUCCAGACCCCCGGAACAAAUUAAGUUUGUACCCAGAGGGUCCACUGUAGUUGGUAAUGUGAAUUCUCACAGGUGUUCAGCUUGUAGGACACACAAGGUUAGGGCCACUAUAGGAAGAAUGAUUCUUUAUAAGCAGGCAUCCUGGAAACCUGUGGAGUACAGAGUCCUUUAGCAGUUUCCAGUAUUCCUAGGCCCUUUUCUGUUCCUUUCAGGAAUCACUUCCAGCUUCAGGUGACUUUCUUUCCUUGGAAGAACUUGGUGGGGUUGGGGACUGGAUCGGACCAGCAGGCAAAUUCAUUAUCUCCCCCAUCCUUAAUGGGACAAGCAGCACACCACAGUGGUAUAAGGUGACCUGAUGCCUGCAGGGCUCUUGCAAAACACUGCACACCACAGCUCUUUGAAGGGGCUUCCCAUGACCCAACAAUCAACUGGUUGUUGGGUUUAUAGAAGCCCCUUUCAAAGUGCUGCCUUCCUCAGUGCUUUGCACAGGAUGAUCAGCAGUGUCUGCACAGCCCUUUCAGCUGAGUGACGUUUUUACCUGCCACACACCUGGCAUCAUAUAAUAUGGCAUCAGCAGUAGCACAGGGCAUGACAGUGCCUGGCUGAACUAUGGAAUUCCUCCCCACAGGAAGAAGUGGUGGUAACUAACUUGAAUAUUUCAAAAGAGAGAGAAUUUGUGUUUUCAGUUAUUAUUAGUUAAGGCUAUUGGUGGCUACUAGUCAUGUUGGCUAUGCUCCCUCCCCAUGACUGGAGGCAAUAUGCUUCCGAAUACCAGUUGCUGGAAAUUGCAGGAGCAAUUGUGCUCAUGUCCUGCUUCCCAUAGGCUUCUGGUUAGAAACAGGAUUCAGGACUUGAUGAGUCUUGGCCUGAUCCAGCAAGCUUUUCUCUUCUACCUAUUAUGAGAUAGAGGAUAAAAGCUUCUCUCUAUCCACUUUCUUCACACCACACACCAUCUUAUACAUCCCCUCUUACUGCAUUUCUUUUCUAAACUUAAAUGUUCCUUAAGAGCUGCUUCAAUCCCUUGAUGAUUAUUGAUUGCCUUUUCUGAACCUAUUUGAGUUCUACAAUAUUUUUUUUGAGUUGACCUCAACUAUGCACAGUACUCCAUGAUACACUUACAAAAUAAUUUACAUUAAAAAGUUUGUUCUAAACAGAAUGUGCUGCAAAGAGUGAUUUACAAAGAUUUGCCCCUAACCAUUAGCUUCUUGUAGCACUGGGCAAGAAGCGUUGGGCAUUUAGAGGCUAGCUCUAAUAUGAAGCUUGGGGAAAUACCUUCAUUCACUGCAGAGCAAAAAUGUUUUGGAGAACAUUUAUAAAUGUUUUGUAUUUGGAGAACAUUUAUAAAUGUAUCUUUUAGCCUUUUCAUAUUGGACAAAUCUACCUCUUUGUUGUUCUUAUUUAAAAUUCUUUUAGUGGACCCUAAAGUUUUGUGUGCUUCCAGUUUAACCUUUGUGGCCCAUCCUAUACUAUUUAUCAAAUUAUAUUUUUUCCUCUUUCACCAUUGUCCUAUCUAUCAUACUUGGAGUGCACGCCCUCUGAGCAAGCACUGGGUCAUUUCUGUGUUCUCUACAAUGCUGAGCACACAGUUGGCAUUAUAAGAAUGUCAAAUACUAGCAGUGGUCAUAAUAAUGUCAAGUAGCGUAAGUAUAUUCCUGUUCUAUUUUUGUUCCUUGACUGACAGACAGCCACAAUCUCAUACAGUUAUGAACACUGAAGUACCCUCGAAAGCUGUGGGGUUUAAGUGGAUAAAAUUUCUCUGUGUUGUGGCCUAUGGCUGUAUACACACCACACAUUUAAAGCAUCCCCUCAAAAAAGAAUCCUGAGAACUGUAGUUUAUUAAAGGUGUAGGGAAAUGUUGCUUUGUGUGUAGUAAACUAGAGUUCCCAUUAUUCCUUUUUAGGGGGGAGGGUGUGCCUUAAAUGUGCUUUAUGGUGAGUAUGCAGCCUGUGUCUUUUGCAGACACAGAAUUUCUGCAUAUAACAUUUUUUUUAGUUAAUUAUCUCAAUGAGUGAUAGAAAAGCCUUCAAGGUAUAUGUAUUUAGAAUUAUUAAUUCUUAGUUAAUUGGUUGUGAAAAUGAUAGUAAUGCUUGUUAAAUGUCAUUUUCAGGAUGCACAUUUCUUCUUGUUGUUGUUGUUUGCUCUAAAGCUGCAAUCCUGCACACAGUGCACACUUACUUGGAAGGAAGCCCUGUGGAACUCAGUAGGAUUUACUUCUGGGUAAACAUGCACAGACUCAGGCCCUACAGCUUUCAUAUCUUUAUAUUAGGAUGAAAAAUAGCAAAAUAAUUCCACAAAAGCAAAACUUAUAGAGGAAUGUUGACUUUCUAGUUAAUAAAAGAUUAUUUAGAAGCCUGGUCCAAGAUCCUUACUGCAGAAUACCUGCCGAUUUCAUUGCCAUGCAAGGUCAGUAAGUCAAAUACAGUGGCUGUAUUUUAAAAAGGUUGAAUAGCUUUAUGAUCAUUGAGACCAUUUAUAGCUGUGAAAGCUCAAAUACAGUUAAAUGUGACAAGGUCUCAGGCCGUAGGGCAAAAGUAUAUUGUAAGGCUUUAAAAAGAUUUUUGCCCUAGAUAGGAGGAGGCAUUUUUUAUAUAUAUAUUAGAAAGGAAUUGUAAAUAUAUUUUCACUAGAGUUUUCUUUUCUUUUUCCAAGAAAAAGAUAAAGAAACAUAAUAUAGCAUAAAUGUGGAUGCUAACAAAUAAUAAUAAUAAUUAGAGCAAAUGUAUUACGUAAACAGGAAACAAAAUCUGUGGCACACUGGUUAUAUCCAAGGUGCCUACCAGUCUACGCUGGUUGUGACCCUAAGUAUCAUCUAGUCCAACCCCCCGCAAUGAAGGAAUAUGCAGCUGUCCCAUCUGGGGUUUAAAUCUGCAACCUUGGUGUUAUUAGCAUCAUGCUCUAACCAGGGACACUUAAAUAACAACCAUCCUCUUCCAACUCUAUGAUUCUACAACAAAGUCAUUGUCAUACAUAUAAAUAAAGGAACUUAUGGACUAAUGAUACAUAAGGCAUAGACCCAUUUGAUAGAACCAGUCACCUUUUGGCAUCAGCAGUUGGCAAUUUAGGGUUGUGUCCAAUGAAGUUGUUGUGCUUGUCCACUUAAACAAUGGAACUUCUCUUUCUUUUUCUUUCCUUGCAUGCCCGUGUACAGGCACAUACACUCAGAUCCUGGGAGGCGGGUGUCCUCAACCCUACCAAAUAGAUGGAGGCUGGGGCAAGAAGCGAAGGAAUGGAAGUUCUGUUGCAAGAACAGAAGUCAUUCUGCAAGCACAUUGACUUCACUUGAAACAACCUCCAGUGUUUGCUACGAACAAACACCAGGGCUAAUUCCUGGUAUUUAUGGAUUGUGGAGAACAUUUCCUAUGACAACAGUUUCCAGAAGCAUGUGCAGCUUUGUUGCACAGCAAGUCUAUCUUUGCAGGGAGUCCAGCUAAGGUGCCUUAGGAAUCAUUGUAAAUAUUGCUCUGCCAACAAAGUGGAUCUCCAUUUGCAGGAUGGUACCUACGCUACAGAGGAGCCCCCAAAAUGCUUGAUGAAAUUCCACCUGUGGCAGGGUCCAAAAAGGAGCAUGUGGGGGAAGAUCUUGGACCCAAGAAAUCCCAAGCGCCCUUGUUUUUCCCAACAUUACCCUCAAAAGGGCUGAAAACUAUGCCCGCCCUGGAGUUGAGAUAGUUAAUUCCUCUUCUAUUGGUGUCAAUGGGAAGUUUUUUUUUUUAAUUUGAUGGAAGAAAAUAAAGAAAAAAAGCCCACUUUCCCACCAUGCUUGCAGAAAACUAGAAGGGCAUAAAUCUUGGCAGUAGCUCCACCAUGGACCCCCCUCCUACACAAUUCAUAGUAUUGUUUUUUGUUGCAGCAAUAAAAAAUAAAAAAAGUCUUGCUGCAUCUUAAAAACUAACACAUUCAUUACGGCAUAUUUUUUGUGAAUUACAGCAAUCAUCAGAUGCAUAAUAUGGAUUCCUGCACUGCUCCAUUGAAAGCAAGCUUGAACAACUUAUGACCCACCAAGCUAAAUGAAAGACCACCAUCCAUCUACAAGUGUGGCCCACCAGAGGCUCAGUAAGACUCUCUCUGUUUAUUUAUCCAUGCCUGGGAUUGAAUAGAAAAAUACUGUUCUAUUUCCACUUUCUCCUUAUCUAUGAUCCAAUGCAUCUUCCUCCUAGCUGCUCCCAGUAGUGACAGACAGCAUCUAUUGUCCUUUGGGACACUAAAGGAAUUCUGGUAUAAUAUCACUUAAAUAUAAACUGGCCAUUUCCUCAUUUUAGUUCGGUAAAAAUGGGAAAGCAGCAAUGCAGCACCAUAAACAUUGAUAAUUCUCCAGUUUGACAGAUAUUGCUGCAGGGAUCUAUACUUGAUCCUGUUUUCUUUAUGGUGUUUAAUGAUCAGGAAGAAAUGUUACAAAGCAAGCUAAUUAAAUUUAAGGAUGCUACUUGGGUUGAAUGGACUUGUUUACAGUGAGGAGGUCACAGAAUUCAGGUGUGAGCUUUGCCAAUGCAAGGACAAGCACCAUGUUGUGUGCUAGGGCAUCGUAAGAUGUUUAUGGACGCAUCAAGUGUGCAUUUAUGUGUUUCUAUGUAACAGUAGUAGUCUCCAAUCCAAUGUAUGGGCAUCAUAUGAUGGGAAAUAGGAUUAUCAAUGAUGGGAAAAGAGAGUAUAAAUGCCGCAUGACAGGGGUAGACAAUGUGGUACCAGUCAGAUCUCAUGGCCUACAUCUCCCAUCAUUCCUGACCAUGCUGGCUGGUUCUGAUGGGAGUUGUAGUCCACACCAUUUGGAUGGAACCCCAUCUUUAUGUGGUCUACCCCUGCUUUAUAUAAAUUUCCUGGGAAAAGUUCAAUUUCAUAUGGAGGUAAUGAAAUUGCUGUAUCACCAAAAGGCUGUGACUCAAUGAUUUUAUAACAUUUUCUGGGGGAUCUGCAUGUAUAUGGUGAUAUACCCAGAGUUUCCUAAACUUGGGUCUCCACCUGUUUUUGAACUACAAUUCUCACCAUCCCUGACCACUGGUCCUGCUAGCGAGGGAUGAUGGGAGUUGUGUUAGUUUCUGUUUCCUCACUGUACAGCUGCUUGCAAUCAUAGGACUGUGUUUACAUUCCAGAGUCCAGAUACAGUUGGAGUCUCACGGGAAAGGGAGACGGGAUGUGACGUUACUGGUUUCCUGUUUCCUUUGUUCCUUUGCUCCUUUGUGUUCAGUUGCUCUCUGCUCUCAUAGAGAGAAGAUGGAUAUUUCUUUGCUCUUUGCAUAGCUUAGUAAUAAAGCAUGGUGUGUAGCCCAUACCUAUCUCAUCCUUCCUCUGUGGUGUUGUUUUAAUGCUCUGCUGGGAGGGCUCGGAGGAAGAUGAGCCUUAUCAGCUUGGACGAACGGAUCUGAAAUCCCAGUAAGUUGUAGUCCAAAAAGAGCUGGAGACCCAAGUUAGGAAAUCCAAGUUUGGAUUUCCCAAUUUUGAGAAAUCCAUUUUGAUACCCUUACACCAGAUUGCAUGGCAAGGCCCCAAACCAGCCCCUUGUUAGAAUAAAAUUCACACUGACACAGAAUUUUGGUUUAAGGUUAUUGGGCAAAAUUUUAGGCCACAACUUUAUUGAUUACAGAAAUGUGAACGGUAUUGGCUUAGGCAUUGGCAAAGCACUGUAUCAGACUCCUGCCCCCUUUGCAGGAAGUCAGUAAGGGUAAACCACCCAAAGAGGAAGCCACAUCGGAGGAACUCGCCUGUAGCUCUCCUCGGUGUCCCCAGAGGCCUGGCAUGGCCCUAGCCCCUCAAGUGGACUUCAGACAGGAUCCAGGCCCUGGAUUCCUUUAAUGGAAUACCCUUGGUCAAUGGAGGGGCAGGCGAUGGCUGAUCUCCCCUCCCCCACAAAUCAAUGAGCCGGUGCCUAACCGCCAAACCUUACAAAGUUGUGACGAUUGCUAAGAGGUAGGCAAAAACUAAAUGGCCAGUGCCAAUCUGCCAAAAGGAAAAAUUCCUACCUGGCCCACAUCCCAACACAGGUGACCAACCAAAGUCCAAAGCAAGGCCAGAGGACAUCUAAAAUAAAGAGCGGGUAGGUGGGUGUUUGGCAGCGCAAAGCAGGUGCCUGACACGCGUCAGGCUGCCACUUUUUAAUCCCUCCAUGAUCACCCCACACAAAAGUGAUUGUCCAAGAUUGUGGUGCCACCCUGGCAUGACAGCAUUACUCUGCCCACGCCAGGGGAGGAGGAACCAGCCUGAGGGUCUGCCCACAACCAGGACCAUCCUUAAAGAUGAUCCCACUUAUCCUGCUACAAAGAUUUCUGUAGAAUGGAUCCACCCUGAAGGAAAUGAAAAAAAAAAAAUAUUUAUUUGAGAAAUAAGUUUUAACUCUCUUCUAUUUACUGUACAAUAAUGAAUAACUCUUUUCCAUGUUGCUUCCUCUCAGAAAUGAAUCUUCAUGUUAGUAGACUUAGCCGCAGAGGCAGCAGGAGAUGGAUGUUGAUUCUGUGUAAAUGUUUCACAAUGGGUUAGUAUGAAUGAAAAGACAUAUAGAGUGACUGCCAGCAGUGUAUGUCUCUGAGAGACAAGGGAAACAGGGCUGCAAAUGCCAAUAAGGUUUUAGUAUUAACCUAGCAGCUUCUCUGUGUUAGACCCUUAAGUGUCAGUUUAUGUAGGUCAUUCUGUAAUUGUCAAAAUGUCUUUAGGAUGGGGUAUAGGCUAUUGCUGCCUCUCGUAUGCUGGCCUGGCACCCCUACGACACCCUCUCUGACUACACUGAUUUCUGUAACUUUGUACAACUAGCAAGAAUGACAAGCAUUGCAAUGUCAACUUACAUCCUAUGUUUGGCCAGCAGUAAGUUGCAUGACAUUAGUGCAUCCUUGCUGCACACAAUACUGAACACCAUUUUGCUGGCCCUGCUAUUGUUCUAGAUUGGAACUUUAAACGGUAUAUAAAAUGGGCAGGACCCUCUAGGUGCUGAGCAGGACCCUCCAGGUGCUGCCAUUGCUGGUUAGGGCUGAUGGGAGCCAGAGACAAAUAACAGCUAUAGGAUUGCAGGCUCCCAAGCCCAGGUAUUGGUUUUGAUUUCAAAUGGUAUAAAUACAUUGCUGAUAUCUUUAUCUUCAGUUGCUUGGGCUGUGGCUUCCAAGUUAAAUCUCCUCAAUAUAUUGCCUAGAAAUCUACUGCUGUGCCUACAAAUUAUUUUAAGAUAUACCCUUGAUUUGGUUCCAGCUGUGCAUGGGUAAUGGAGAACAGCUUCAGUAUUAACAAAAAGACCUAACAGACCAGAUGGAAAGUGACUUUGUUGAUCAGUGUUCAUAGCAGAAUUGUAAUAUGCAGACAUGAGUAAGCUUAGAUGAGCCAAGAUAAGAACACUCCCAAGGUCUUUGCCAUUUUUUUAUUUCUAUUUUUAUAAAGUUGUUUAUCAGAUAUGUUAAGUAUUUAGGUUUGAUUUGCAUUUCUAUUUUCACUUCCCAUCGGAAGGGACUCUUUUCUUCUGGUUUGAUUUUCCUUUCUUUUUAAAUCAACAGCAUUUAACAUUCAUUCCAUCUCUUAGUGUUUGUGGCUUCCUUUUCUUGAGGCAAUUGUCAGAUGCUGGAAAGUCAGACAAAAUGAAAAGUAAUCAUUUGCGAACUGAAGUUGGGUGUUACUUAGUGUGUCAGCCGGGGAUGGAGGAGAAAUUUGGUUCUAUUCACAUGCUAGUAUGCGUAUGCACUUCCUGAAACAAUAAGUGAAAUGAAAUACAACUAUCCCUCAUAAUGUACAUAUCUCUGAAUUUCUCAGUGCAAUUCUCCAACCAACAAAAGUGUACAAAGAUAUAGAUAGAUGGUACAGACAGAUAGAUAGAUAGAUAUAGAUGAUGAUAGAUGAUAGAUGAUAGAUAGAUAGAUAGAUAGAUAGAUAGAUAGAUAGAUGAUAGAUAGAUAGAGGGUACAUUAAAAUGCACCAUUUAUUUAUUGAUUUGUUCAUAGGAUUUCUCACUGCCUUCACUAUAAGGUGUGUGGAUGGGUUACAGUAGUGUAAACAUAUUAGCAUAAAUAUCAUGUAACAAUCCAGUGGUGGAAGUUGCUUUCAAAAUGCUUACAAAUACCAUAUUAGGCAAAAUAGCAAACAAAAAUGUGGUUGCUCUUGUAAUGAGGAGGACUCCAGCAAAACUGGGGCACAACCUAACGUUUCCUCCACAUGCAAAACAGAAUUUAUGACAUGGGGCCUUCCCAUCUCACCCUUACCUCUGUAUCUCCCUGAGCACUCCUAAAAUAUGUUAUUGUGUGUUGGGAAUACAGUGGGAUAUGAUCAGCUGGUGUCCCUUACAACUGGAAGACAGGAAGACAAUAGGUGGAGCCAGAGCCAAUGUGAAGCUGAGCCUACUAAUUCUAGUUUUGUUCCUAGCCAAUUCCCUGAUGAGUUCUACAAGAGCAACACUGAGAUGAAGAUGGAAGAAACUGACAGUCAAAGCCACCCUCUGGACUCAUUGUAAGUAAGAAAGUAGGAAGGUGGGACCUGCUGGUGAGAGACAGAUGUUGGUGGGGCUCUGACCAUCCUCCACAGGAGCAGGGGGACUGUAGUGUAGACAGAAGAAGAGUUGCUAAAAACCACUUCUUUCCCUUACGUGCGUUGUGCAGCAACCUAAGAGCCAAGUCAUCCUACUGACAAUGUACUGUUGCGAGACUCUGGAAAACAGCCACAAAAAAGACAUGUUUCCAGAACAGUUCAGCAUCUGCACUCUCACACCAUCACUUUCUUAUCACAAGGGAUUUUGUGAGAGGAGAAGAGAGGAAAAUACAAGAAGCAGCUAAAGAAAUUGCUUAAAGAAAGAAUCUGCUUAUUCCAUAUGAUUUUCGGGAUACAUUACAUUAAGCAAAGACUGUGUGGUUGCAUAGUCUUCAUUCAUUCCUUCCCUCCAUUCUGUGAAUACUUAAGCAGGCAUGUUGACCUUUGCAUGAGUAAAGUUAAGCCUCCAUGCAAUCAUUCUGGAAACUAAGAGCUAAUUAGCAGUUUCUUCGUGCAACAAAAGUUCGUUCAGUUUGUUAUUUUUAUUUUUUUUAGACGAGCACUGUUAGCUGUCAAAAUCAACUAGGUUAUUAGCAUUGGAAUCAGAAACACUUGUGAUAAGAAAGAAAGAUGGUAAAUUAAACAUUCAUAUUUUAUCUCAGUUUCUGAAAUAUAUGUUCUUAAGUCUACUUUGAAGUAUGUGAUUAAAUUCUCUGAAGCCUUUUUAUCUCCUCUUGAUUGCUAAAAUUCCUAUCAGUGCCAAAAUGCAUAGCUGGUACUAUAUAUAAUCAAACUUGUUUCUUUAUCUUCAAAAGUAAGAUCUAACUUGUUAUGAAUAAACAUAAACAGUGUGCCUGUUUCUCGUUCAUUAAAUAUAAGUUUUAAUAUAAAAAAGGGGCAUGCUCAGCAAUGGCAGAUGGUUUUGCAUCCAGUCUUCCAAAGUAGACUGGGAUGCCUCUGGUCCAGUUUCUGGAUAUCACAGGUCUUUUGUGGAUGGACCCACAUUAUAGCAUUCAUUCAUGCAUGUUCAAGCAGCUGACAGGGGUGUAUUUUGUUCUCCCCCUUCCUAUUUUACCAUCACAACAAUCCUAUAAAGUAGGUCAGUUUUCAUAGACUUUCUUUUUAAAAAAAGAAACUUAUGUACAGCUCCUGUUGUAGCACUAUUAAAUUUGGUUUCAUUCUUGAUUUAUUAAUAAUUUUAUUAUUAGAAUAGAAUUUAUAUAGCCACUAUUUCUGUAGUUACAUAGCAUAGGGAUGGGGUGGCAAUGUUGGUGGGGUUACAGGUAGGUAGAUGUGUUGGUCUGCCAUAGUCGAAACAAAAUAAAAAAAAAAUCCUUCCAGUAGCACCUUAGAGACCAACUAAGUUUGUUAUUGGUAUGAGCUUUCAUGUGCAUGCACACUUCUUCAGAUUGGGCUCCAAUAUUUUGGGUGGGGAACAGACUUUUGUCUCUUGUGGCAAAAUUUGUAGGUCUUCACUGAUUGUGCCUAGUCAGAUAAUUUACAAAGGUUCCUAGAUCGGAACCACAUUUUCCUCACAACAAUAGUGUUUUGGGAUAAAGGCAGACAGCCAAUAAUAUGGGGAGCACACCAGCCCAGUGGCAUUUCCCUGUCUCUAUGUGUGAAUAACUGUCAGCCUGAAGUGUCUGAAAAUGGGCAGAGAAAUUGAAAUCUGGGUGGGGGAGGAAGAUAUAACCCAAUACAAAAAAAAGGAAAUUGAAAAAUAAAGUAACAGUAAUAACAAAGCAUAAUAAUUUACAAUUACUGGCCUAUAAAUGUAAUUUACAGAGUUGCCAUGAGAUAGUAUUUGGAAGAGUCUGCCAAAAGAAUGGCAAUUUGCAUGUAAUUGCCGAUAAUGUGUCUCCUUUUCCUUUACUGAGUUUUUUUGUAUUUCACAUGUUACUGGGAUUCAAUUUGCCUUCUGUUUGCUUUGCUUGUCUUAUAUAAUACUUUGUUGCUCAGAUAUGAAAAUGGAAUUUUCAUACUCAUGUCAUCUGCUCUAAGGCAUCAAUGUAAGAACAAGCCUAUACUCUGGUUUCUCAGUGUACAGUAAAAACCCAAAUGAAAUAAAGAAUGAGACAAUUAGUUUACAUGCAAAAUCUUGUAUUUUCAGCUUGGUUUGAAAGUGUAUCCCAAUACGAAUAUUUUGAUAUGAAACAGAGGAUAGGAACUAUGACUGGGUAGUAAUACAUGUACUGCUGAUGAAGUAGUUUUACAUGGUUAUUUUACAUGGUAAUUUUUGUAUUCAUGCAAUGUCCUGUAUUCAGAUGCUUACUGAGGUGGCGUAGGAAAACAGGUUCCAAGGUCACCAGCAAUAUAAGCUGUUAUUCACAAUCCUAACAAAGUUGAGGAGGGCUCCCCAAAAUAUUAUGUACACAAGCACCCUUGGAAAGAGGGACCCAGUUUCCAAGUUAAUCUCUGUCAGCCCUCUUUGUCAAGUUUCCUUCUAAAGCAAAACACUGACAAUAUAUUUCAGUAACUGGUGGUGAGGAAACACUACAGCUUGGGUACUAAUUUCCAUGUACAGAAUUCCACUAACACAAAGGGUCUUUCUUACCGCUCCCUUUCUGCCACCUUUCUCACUACCCUACCAAAUGUGGUGUUGAGGGUUGGGGGUACCCUCUGUGACAGGGAGGGAUGUGCUCAGUGAGAAGUGCAAAUCAACAAAACAACACCGGGGGGGGGGGGGAAACCACCACUCUUGUGCUCACAUAGCAAACCUGUUAUCAUGUAAAUACCUUAUUUGAGUUAAUUCAUUCCCUAAUUAAAAAAAACAACAACUUUUUUAUACGUUAUGCAACAUUCCUUGGUCAGCAAUGUCACUGAAGUCAUAUGGUCAUAUAGUCCUUUAAAAAUAAAUAAAGGUGUAGACACUUGUAAUUGUGUGCAGACACAACCAACAGUCUAGUAGUGUACAGAUUAACUACUGUCCCUGUACAAUGUAUGAAUACACAUCCUGGGUAAGCAAUGUUCAAAUACCCAACUUCUCAAAUAAAUAUCUGAGUGCCAUGUAUGACCAUUCUAAACAGCAAACAAACAAAAGUAUGUGGAUAUGAGCAGCUUGAACAGGUCCAACCACACACUGUCCUUUUAAGAUGUUGAUAACUGCCUCUGAAUGAGAAGAUUUAUCACUGAUGUGGGCACUGAGCUAUAUAAAACUCUAGUGAGUAAAAUAUAACGCUUAGCUCUUUCAUCAAGGUCUCACCUUUACUUAAUGUUCUUUUUUCUUAGUCUAUGGGGUGGUGGAUAGGGUGGGACAGAAUCCUGGACCCGUAGAAUUUUAUGAUGAUUAAAUAUUACUUUCAUAAUGGUAGGUGACUCCAUCUAUUAAUUCUUUAAUCUAUCAUUUUUUUGUACACUCAGUAAGAAAGCAACAUAACUCAAAGACAGAGCUAUGUGUGUGAUAAAAGUAAUAUAUGGCCCUUCAUUUCAGGUGGUAUAUAUAACAUAUUCUAUGGCACUGUAAUGGAAUGUAUUUAAUUUUCAUUCAUCUUCCUUGACAUUUUAAGAGUUCUGAGGACACAUGGUUUAAACACCUUUUCUGCACCCACAACUAGCGAUUAGAUUAUGUAACCCAUGUGACUCCAUUGCCUAUGACAUUAUCAGAAGCUUCUGUGUAUCCCUGACCCUUCCUCAAAUGAGCUUCUGCACAGAUGCUGAUCAGACAAUUGUGCAAUAAGUCUUAAAACAUAGAAAGAUCCCUGUAUUUGUGUGUAGGCUUGCUCAAAUAACUUUGUCUAUCUUUUGAUAAAAGAUGGCUAACGUAAUUUCUAUUCUUAUGUCCAAGGAACACUGCUGCAAAUGAGAGCACGUGGUGGUAGGUGCGAUGGAUCUAUUUCAGGUUUGUGCUAAUAUACAUGUGUUCAUUCAUAAAUCCAUUCCAUCCCAUUUCCUCAUUGAAUAUGCAAUUUGAAAUAGUUCUGGGCAAAUGUGAUUUGUAAAUUUAUUUUUAAAAGCAUAUUUGACAAUAAAAUAUUUUUUUUGGAAAAAAAUGUAUGUUUCAAAUAUAUAUACACAUUGCUAAACAUAUUUUAUCAAAAAUGCAUAGAAUCAUAGGAUUGUAGAGUUAGAAGGGUCCCUGAGGUUCACUGAAUCCAAAAACCCUGCAAUGCAGAAAUAAAUUGGACAACAAAUAGCUCAUUUGGUUGAGCAUGAGACUCUUAAUCUCAGGGUCAUGGGUUUGAGCCCCACAUUGCAGAAAAUAUUUCUGCAUUUCAGGAACUUGGUCUAGACGACCCUCAGGCCCUUCCAAAUCUAUACUUCUUUGAUUUUAUGAAUGGAUGCACUGUUACUAAUAGAAUCCUUGCCAACUUCCUGGACCAUGGACUAUUAGUAGAGCAGACAUCAUGUUUUAAUGCAUUUUUGAUCUGAGAACUGCAUUGCAAAUAUUGUAGAAGUGUGAAAUUCAAAGGAAAAUUAAGUUCUGGUCUAUGAAGUGCAGAUCAGGCCAGUUCACACUAAAAUUCACAGAAAUUGAAUUCCCCAAGCAUCUCUAACUUAUAAUACUGGAAUUGCUAGAGCAAUAAGAAGCAAUUGAUUUCUAUCAAGAGGUUCAGUGUCAUAUAGUGGCUAAAGUUGGGUUUUGAUGUGGGAAUUUAAGGCUAAUUCUUAAGCCAUGAAAUUCACUGGUGGCGUUGAGCAAGUCAGGAUGUCUCAAUCUAAUGUUCCUCUCAGGAUUGUUGUGAUGAUAAAAUGGGAUAGCUCCUAAGACAAUGGGACAAACCCAAAUUGCAACAUAAACAGAAUGCCGCAAUGAAUGGGGCAGCCAACGUGGAAUUGUGUUUAGCACGUUGGUGCCUGCAUGUGUGAAUCUGUCCACUACUGCUAGGCAACUAUAGAUGGAACAAUGCACCUGAAAUCUUUUGCAAACUUUGCAAGCUAGUGCUGGGCUGAAAUCUAUGCUUCAAUUUCUCAAGCCAAGGGGGGGGGGUAUUCCCCAGUAAAAGCUACAUCUGUUUUUCUGCUUUAUUUACAGGGCAUUUUAGGAUGUCUUCAGAGGCAGGCUGAAUUCAACUAGCAUUGUCGAAGAACGCAAAGAGAGAGAGGAACGGAAAUUUUCAAUGUUUGCUUGUUUGCCCCAUGUCCAUAACAUAAAUUAAUCCAGAGAAUAUGAUGUAUAUUCACUGCUGUUGCUGUUUUCAGUCUGCAAAUGAAGCUUAAUUGAUGCCC